rnacentral:rRNA from 1 species
UGAGGGAAUAUUGGUCAAUGGACGGCAAGUCUGAACCAGCCAAGUAGCGUGCAGGAUGACGGCCCUAUGGGUUGUAAACUGCUUUUAUGCGGGGAUAAAGUGAGGGACGUGUCCCUUUUUGUAGGUACCGCAUGAAUAAGGACCGGCUAAUUCCGUGCCAGCAGCCGCGGUAAUACGGAAGGUCCGGGUGUUAUCCGGAUUUAUUGGGUUUAAAGGGAGCGUAGGCCGUCGUUUAAGCGUGUUGUGAAAUGCCGCGGCUCAACCGUGGCACUGCAGCGCGAACUGGAUGACUUGAGUUCGCGGGAGGUAGGCGGAAUUCGUGGUGUAGCGGUGAAAUGCUUAGAUAUCAUGAAGAACUCGAUCGCGAAGGCAGGCAUCUGGGGUGUUACUGACGCUGA